rnacentral:lncRNA from 1 species
GUCAACAAUCUCUUCCUUUUUGAUGAUGACAAAAUCAUUUGAGUAUAAUAUUUUCUUCAAAUUUCAAAUUGAUUUAUUUUCAAUUAUUGCAUAUAUGCAUUCAGAUUUUAUCAAUUUCACUUUCUAUAAUUGCAUACACAACAUAUACAAUUAAAUUUUAUCAAUUUACACAUGCUCUCCCAGAGUAUGAGAAUUAUGCUCAAUUCAAUUUCAAUUUUAUCAAAAUUUAUGAUACUC